rnacentral:rRNA from 1 species
AGUGGAUGGGGAGCAACCUAGUUGUGCGUGUGUAAAGGUAGUGCCAAGAAAAGCGGUGAUCAUGAUGAAAAUCAAUUCCCGGUACCCGAAACCGACACAGGUGGGCAAGUAGAGAAUACUAAGGGGCGCGAGGUAACUCUCUCCAAGGAACUCGGCAAAAUGACCCCGUAACUUAGGGAGAAGGGGUGCCACCGAGAGGUGGUCGCAGUGAAGAGGCCCAGGCGACUGUUUAGCAAAAACAUAGGUCUCUGCAAACUCGAAAGAGGAGGUAUAGGGGCUGACGCCUGCCCAGUGCCGGAAGGUUAAAGAAGUUGGUCAGUCUUAGGAUGAAGCUAGCGACUGAAGCCCCGGUGAACGGCGGCCGUAACUAUAACGGUCCCAAGGUAGCGAAAUUCCUUGUCGGGUAAGUUCCGACCCGCACGAAAGGCGUAACGAUCUGGGCGCUGUCUCGGAGAGAGGCUCGGCGAAAUAGGAUUGUCUGUGAAGAUACGGACUACCUGCAUUUGGACAGAAAGACCCUAUGAAGCUUUACUAUAGCUUGGAAUUGUGUUCGGGCUUCCUGUGCGCAGGAUAGGUGGGAGGCGUAGAAGGUAUUCUUGUGGGGAUACUGGAGCCAACGGUGAGAUACCACUCUCAGGAGGCUAGAAUUCUAACUUAAUUAAGGACAGUUUCAGGUGGGUAGUUUGACUGGGGCGGUCGCCUCCAAAAAGGUAACGGAGGCGUACAAAGGUUCCCUCAGACUGGUUGGAUAUCAGUCGAAGAGUGCAAAGGCAGAAGGGAGCUUGACUGCGAGAAGUACAGUUCGAGCAGGGUGGAAACACGGUCUUAGUGAUCCGACGGUGCUGUGUGGAAGGGCCGUCGCUCAACGGAUAAAAGUUACUCUAGGAUAACAGGCUGAUCUCCCCCAAGAGUUCACAUCGACGGGGAGGUUUGGCACCUCGAUGUCGGCUCAUCGCAACCUGGGGCGGAAGUACGUCCCAAGGGUUGGGCUGUUCGCCCAUUAAAGCGGUACGUGAGCUGGGUUCAGAACGUCGUGAGACAGUUCGGUCCAUAUCCGAUGUAGUCGUGAGAAUAUUGAGAGGAGCCUUCCUUAGUACGAGAGGACCGGGAAGGACGCACCGCUGGUGUACCUGUUAUGAUGCCAAUUGUAAACGCAGGGUAGCCAAGUGCGGAGAGGAUAACCGCUGAAAGCAUCUAAGUGGGAAGCCCACCUCAAGAUGAGUAUUCUGGUGUAAGGUCACGGGAAGACGACCCGUAAAUAGGCACGAGGUGGAAGUGCAGAGAUGUAUGAAGCCGAAGUGUACUAAUAGACCGUCGGCUUGAUC